GACGAACGCUGGCGGCGUGCUUAACACAUGCAAGUCGAACGGAAAGGCCCUGCUUUUGUGGGGUGCUCGAGUGGCGAACGGGUGAGUAACACGUGAGUAACCUGCCCUUGACUUUGGGAUAACUUCAGGAAACUGGGGCUAAUACCGGAUAGGAGCUCCUGCUGUAUGGUGGGGGUUGGAAAGUUUCGGCGGUUGGGGAUGGACCCGCGGCUUAUCAGGUUGUUGGUGGGGUAGUGGCUUACCAAGGCUUUGACUGGUCGCCGGCCUGAGAGGGUGACCGGCCACAUUGGGACUGAGAUACGGCCCAGACUCCUACGGGAGGCAGCAGUGGGGAAUAUUGCACAAUGGGCGGGAGCCUGAUGCAGCAACGCCGCGUGCGGGAUGACGGCCUUCGGGGUGUAAACCGCUUUCGCCUGUGACGAAGCGUGAGUGACGGUAAUGGGUAAAGAAGCACCGGCUAACUACGUG
rnacentral:rRNA from 1 species